GCUUGAGAGGAAAUGUUUAAGCCUUGAUUGUACUAAAUGAAUAAGUGACAGCUAACUAUGUGCCAGCAGCUGCGGUAAAACAUAGGUCACGAGCAUUAUCCGGAUUUAUUGGGCGUAAAGGAAGCGUAGGCGGACAAAUUGAUCUAUUGUUAAAGGCACUUGCUCAACGAGUUGUUUGUGAUAGAUAUCGUUUGUCUAGAAUUAGUUAGGAGAUACUGGAAUUCAAUGUGUAGCGGUGGAAUGCGUAGAUAUAUUGAGGAACACCAGAGGCUAAGGCGAGUAUCUAGGACAUAAUUGACGCUGAGGCUUGAAAGCGUGGGGAGCAAAUGGGAUUAGAUACCCCAGUAGUCCACGCCGUAAACGAUGGGUAUUAGGUAUUUGGUCCAGGACUGAGUGCUGUAGCUAACGCGUUAAAUACCCCGCCUGGGUAGUAUAUAUGCAAAUA
rnacentral:rRNA from 1 species